rnacentral:sRNA from 1 species
AUGUACCACGCGUACAUUCCGGUUCCUGCGCGCCGUCCGCACCCACCUGACGACUGAUCGCUCCGUUUUGUCAGCC